rnacentral:rRNA from 1 species
CAGUCAUGCUAGUGAGGAAUCAACCUGAUGGUGUGUGGGUUUUCCCUUGUACUUUCAGGUGCACUUUCACACCUGGCAGGUUAGCAUCAAUUUCGGUUAUCAAUAAAAAAUUUGAAGAGGAUGUGGUCUUUUCGUUCGGAAAAGUGUUAAUAGAUCUCGAUCUAUGUGGUGACC